UGGGGAAUAUUGCACAAUGGGCGAAAGCCUGAUGCAGCAACGCCGCGUGAGUGAUGAAGGCCUUCGGGUUGUAAAGCUCUGUCUUUUGGGACGAUAAUGACGGUACCAAAGGAGGAAGCCACGGCUAACUACGUGCCAGCAGCCGCGGUAAUACGUAGGUGGCAAGCGUUGUCCGGAUUUACUGGGCGUAAAGGAUGCGUAGGCGGAUUUUUCAAGUGAGAUGUGAAAUACCCGGGCUUAACUUGGGUGCUGCAUUUCAAACUGGGAAUCUAGAGUGCGGGAGAGGAGAAUGGAAUUCCUAGUGUAGCGGUGAAAUGCGUAGAGAUUAGGAAGAACACCAGUGGCGAAGGCGAUUCUCUGGACCGUAACUGACGCUGAGGCAUGAAAGCGUGGGUAGCAAACAGGAUUAGAUACCCUGGUAGUCCACGCCGUAAACGAUGAGUACUAGGUGUAGGAGGUAUCGACCCCGUUCUGUGCCGCAGUUAACACAAUAAGUACUCCGCCUGGGAAGUACGAUCGCAAGA
rnacentral:rRNA from 1 species